GGUCUAGUUCCUCUCCUCUAUGGUGGUGGCUAGUCCUAUUUAUAGAGGCCCUAGUCCUCUUCCCAAAUAUUAGGCGGGAAGGGACCCCACAACGGCCAGUUUGAAGGGGGACAACUAGUACAAGUUAUCUCUACUACUAUAAAAUUCUCAGUUGGUGGUGAUGGUGUGCCUGCCAUCCAUCAGUUUAGACCAUCAGAUCUUCAUCCAACGUACAGGAGGCAACCCACUUCAGCCGGGUGAUUCUCUCCUCCCCCUGCUACAGUAUAAAGGUGAAAAGGAAGCAACCGGGAGGCGACUUCAGUUCUUCCACCGACGAUCUCGUCGCUCCUCUUCGCCUCCGAUGACCAUCUGACCUCGUGAGGCGUGGGGGAGCUCUAGCACUCCGCCUGCGUGUAGAUACGGGUUGGUUGGGCGGCGCUCGGAUGGUGGCGGCGCGUCGCGUCCAAUAAAGCGGUCCUGGCUCCUACCCCAUCUCGCCGGCGAUGGCGAGGAGCCUAUGGGCCUGUGUGGUCUGGCGGUUCUGCUGAGGCGGCAGUUACACCAUCGACUCUGGUAUUUUUUCCUCCAGCCCUGUCCCCGCCUUGGUGGUUCACGCACUAGAGCUCCCGACGGGGUGUGUGAGUAGUUGUAGAGGUGUUGUGGCGGUGAUGGCCGCCUAAGAUUUGGUUUGCGGCGACUUAUAGAGGCGGCUGUUCUGGAGACCAGUUUGUAGCUAGCUGGACAGAGGAUCUGGUGGCCCUUCUCGCCGGAGGAGAUCCAGAGGCGGUGGAGCGCAGGAUUAUUGCCAGGCGCUUCUCCUGCUCACAAAUGGAUUCGUCCACGGUCAUCUCAGUGGCGGCGGCCAGAGGCGUGCGGGCUCUCUUUGGGGCCUCCAGGGAUGUGGUUCUAUUCUUCUUUGUUUGGAGGUCUUUUAUUCAAGUUUUCAGCUGGUUCUGGUGUCUUCGCGUGACGGCAUGAGUGUGUAAAUGUUUAUUUUUUACUUUUGAGGGAAAAAUGUCAGCGCACGCCAUGAGCAAGCCAACAAUAACAAAUAUUGGGAGGAGUCCGGCUGCUGGAUGCGCCAUGUGUGUGCUGUUGUAAACUUGUAAUGCGUUGAGAGGAUUCACCAUUGUCUUGCGUGGAGCAGGUUCUAGAGCUAAGGCGAAAGACACAACUUUUGGGACAGUGUCGUGUGCCUGGACUGCAUGUAUUGUAGGUUGUGUUAUAUGCUUUAAGGUACUUGUGUUUUUUUUCAAAUCAUGAAAGUGGUUUAGAAUGUUGCAACAUCAA